rnacentral:rRNA from 1 species
UGAACGCUGGCGGUGUGCUUAACACAUGCAAGUCGUACGAGGUUCAUUCUCCUGUACACUCUCGGGUGUGCAAAAUGAACUGCAGUGGCGGACGGGUGCGUAACGCGUAAGAACUUACCUUUUGGAGGGGGAUAACAUUGGGAAACCGCUGCUAAUACCCCAUAAUGCUGAGGAGCUAAACGGUGAACAACCGCCAAGAGAGAGGCUUGCGUCUGAUUAGCUAGUUGGUGGAGGUAAUGGCUCCCCAAGGCGACGAUCAGUAGCUGGUCUGAGAGGAUGAUCAGCCACACUGGGACUGAGACACGGCCCAGACUCCUACGGGAGGCAGCAGUGAGGAAUUUUCCGCAAUGGGCGAAAGCCUGACGGAGCAAUACCGCGUGAAGGAAGAAGGCCCGUGGGUCGUAAACUUCUUUUCUCAGAGAAGAAGAUCUGACGGUAUCUGAGGAAUAAGCGCCGGCUAAGUCUGUGCCAGCAGCCGCGGUAAUACAGACGGCGCAAGCGUUAUCCGGAAUGAUUGGGCGUAAAGCGUCUGUAGGUGGUUCCCGAAGUCUACUGUCAAAUCCCAGGGCUCAACCUUGGACAGGCAGUGGAGAACUCGGGGGCUAGAGUACGGUAGGGGUAGAGGGAAUUCCCGGUGAAGCAGUGAAAUGCACAGAGAUCGGGAAGAACACCAGUGGCGAAGGCGCUCUACUAGGCCGUGACUGACACUGAGAGACGAUAG